rnacentral:misc_RNA from 1 species
AAAGUCGUAACAAGGUUUCCGUAGGUGAACCUGCGGAAGGAUCAUUACAAAUCCAUCCACGUCUCAUACCUGAGACCACGUUGAAAUGUUCCCUAGCGCGCGCAUGCAUGCUGCAUGCGCGCGCUAGGCUUGUAAACUAGUAUCAUCUGUUGCUCAAAUGUAUCUUUCUUGAUUGUAAUGAUCAAGGCAAAACAAAGUACAACUUAUAACAAUGGAUCUCUAGGCUCUU